AACGAACGCUGGCGGCAUGCCUAACACAUGCAAGUCGAACGAAGGCUUCGGCCUUAGUGGCGCACGGGUGAGUAACGCGUGGGAAACUGCCUAUUGGUGGGGAAUAACGACGGGAAACUGUCGCUAAUACCGCAUAAGCCCUUCGGGGGAAAGAUUUAUCGCCGAUAGAUGUGCCCGCGUCCGAUUAGCUAGUUGGUGAGGUAAUGGCUCACCAAGGCGACGAUCGGUAGCUGGUCUGAGAGGAUGAUCAGCCACACUGGGACUGAGACACGGCCCAGACUCCUACGGGAGGCAGCAGUGGGGAAUAUUGGACAAUGGGCGAAAGCCUGAUCCAGCAAUGCCGCGUGAGUGAUGAAGGCCUUAGGGUUGUAAAGCUCUUUCGGGUGGGACGAUGAUGACGGUACCACCAGAAGAAGCCCCGGCUAACUUCGUGCCAGCAGCCGCCGUAA
rnacentral:rRNA from 1 species